rnacentral:rRNA from 1 species
UUGAACGCUGGCGGCAGGCCUAACACAUGCAAGUCGAGCGGUAACACAGAGAGCUUGCUCUCGGGUGACGAGCGGCGGACGGGUGAGUAAUGUCUGGGAAACUGCCUGAUGGAGGGGGAUAACUACUGGAAACGGUAGCUAAUACCGCAUAACGUCGCAAGACCAAAGUGGGGGACCUUCGGGCCUCAUGCCAUCAGAUGAGCCCAGAUGGGAUUAGCUAGUAGGUGGGGUAACGGCUCACCUAGGCGACGAUCCCUAGCUGGUCUGAGAGGAUGACCAGCCACACUGGAACUGAGACACGGUCCAGACUCCUACGGGAGGCAGCAGUGGGGAAUAUUGCACAAUGGGCGCAAGCCUGAUGCAGCCAUGCCGCGUGUGUGAAGAAGGCCUUCGGGUUGUAAAGCACUUUCAGCGGGGAGGAAGGCGGUGAGGUUAAUAACCUCAUCGAUUGACGUUACCCGCAGAAGAAGCACCGGCUAACUCCGUGCCAGCAGCCGCGGUAAUACGGAGGGUGCAAGCGUUAAUCGGAAUUACUGGGCGUAAAGCGCACGCAGGCGGUCUGUCAAGUCGGAUGUGAAAUCCCCGGGCUCAACCUGGGAACUGCAUUCGAAACUGGCAGGCUAGAGUCUUGUAGAGGGGGGUAGAAUUCCAGGUGUAGCGGUGAAAUGCGUAGAGAUCUGGAGGAAUACCGGUGGCGAAGGCGGCCCCCUGGACAAAGACUGACGCUCAGGUGCGAAAGCGUGGGGAGCAAACAGGAUUAGAUACCCUGGUAGUCCACGCCGUAAACGAUGUCGAUUUGGAGGUUGUGCCCUUGAGGUGUGGCUUCCGGAGCUAACGCGUUAAAUCGACCGCCUGGGGAGUACGGCCGCAAGGUUAAAACUCAAAUGAAUUGACGGGGGCCCGCACAAGCGGUGGAGCAUGUGGUUUAAUUCGAUGCAACGCGAAGAACCUUACCUGGUCUUGACAUCCACAGAACUUUCCAGAGAUGGAUUGGUGCCUUCGGGAACUGUGAGACAGGUGCUGCAUGGCUGUCGUCAGCUCGUGUUGUGAAAUGUUGGGUUAAGUCCCGCAACGAGCGCAACCCUUAUCCUUUGUUGCCAGCGGUUAGGCCGGGAACUCAAAGGAGACUGCCAGUGAUAAACUGGAGGAAGGUGGGGAUGACGUCAAGUCAUCAUGGCCCUUACGACCAGGGCUACACACGUGCUACAAUGGCAUAUACAAAGAGAAGCGACCUCGCGAGAGCAAGCGGACCUCAUAAAGUAUGUCGUAGUCCGGAUUGGAGUCUGCAACUCGACUCCAUGAAGUCGGAAUCGCUAGUAAUCGUAGAUCAGAAUGCUACGGUGAAUACGUUCCCGGGCCUUGUACACACCGCCCGUCACACCAUGGGAGUGGGUUGCAAAAGAAGUAGGUAGCUUAACCUUCGGGAGGGCGCUUACCACUUUGUGAUUCAUGACUGGGGUG